AGUGAACGCUGGCGGUAGGCCUAACACAUGCAAGUCGAACGGCAGCACAGUAAGAGCUUGCUCUUACGGGUGGCGAGUGGCGGACGGGUGAGGAAUACAUCGGAAUCUACUUUUUCGUGGGGGAUAACGUAGGGAAACUUACGCUAAUACCGCAUACGACCUACGGGUGAAAGCAGGGGAUCUUCGGACCUUGCGCGAUUGAAUGAGCCGAUGUCGGAUUAGCUAGUUGGCGGGGUAAAGGCCCACCAAGGCGACGAUCCGUAGCUGGUCUGAGAGGAUGAUCGGCCACACUGGAACUGAGACACGGUCCAGACUCCUACGGGAGGCAGCAGUGGGGAAUAUUGGACAAUGGGGGCAAGCCUGAUCCAGCCAUACCGCGUGGGUGAAGAAGGCCUUCGGGUUGUAAAGCCCUUUUGUUGGGAAAGAAAAGCAGCAGGUUAAUACCCCGCUGUUCUGACGGUACCCAAAGAAUAAGCACCGGCUAACUUCGUG
rnacentral:rRNA from 1 species